CAAUAGCGUAUAUUAAUGUUGUUGCUGUUAAAAAGCUCGUAGUUGGAUUCGGAGCAGCGGGUCAGGCUCGGCCACCUUGUGGUACCCUUCGGGGUCUCUGCUUGGUGGAACCACCGCGUCUACAUAACCCCUGCUCUAUUUACGCGGAAACGAUCGCCUUGUGCUGGUCACAUUAAGUUGUGGCUGGUACAACCCACGCGCGUCCCACGCGCUCAAGGGCCGUCCGCGGUUGCCACUGUGAACAAAACAGCGUGUCCCAAGCAAUCGUUGCGAUUUGAAUGACGAAGCAUGGAAUGACAAGGGCUUGCCAUCGUGUGGAGCUUUUGUUGGUCUCUCAACCUCCGGUGGAGAAUCGGACACGUGCUCGGGACAGUCUUCUACGGAGGAUUGCUCCCCCACGGUCCUAGGGAUCAAUAGAGACUGCCGGGGUGGUACGUAUUUCCUGGCCAGGGGUGAAAUCCUUAGACCCAGGGAAGACGAACAACAGCGAAGGCAUUCCACCAGAAUGU
rnacentral:rRNA from 1 species